UCGGUCUGGUGGCGAGUGGCGAACGGGUGAGUAAUAUAUCGGAACGUGCCCAGUCGUGGGGGAUAACGUAGUGAAAAUUACGCUAAUACCGCAUACGAUCUAAGGAUGAAAGCGGGGGAUCGCAAGACCUCGCGCGAUUGGAGCGGCCGAUAUCAGAUUAGGUAGUUGGUGAGGUAAAGGCUCACCAAGCCAACGAUCUGUAGCUGGUCUGAGAGGACGACCAGCCACACUGGAACUGAGACACGGUCCAGACUCCUACGGGAGGCAGCAGUGGGGAAUUUUGGACAAUGGACGCAAGUCUGAUCCAGCCAUUCCGCGUGCAGGACGAAGGCCUUCGGGUUGUAAACUGCUUUUGUACAGAACGAAAAGGUCUCUAUUAAUACUAGGGGCUCAUGACGGUACUGUAAGAAUAAGCACCGGCUAACUACGUGCCAGCAGCCGCGGUAAUACGUAGGGUGCAAGCGUUAAUCGGAAUUACUGGGCGUAAAGCGUGCGCAGGCGGUUAUAUAAGACAGAUGUGAAAUCCCCGGGCUCAACCUGGGAACUGCAUUUGUGACUGUAUAGCUGGAGUGCGGCAGAGGGGGAUGGAAUUCCGCGUGUAGCAGUGAAAUGCGUAGAUAUGCGGAGGAACACCGAUGGCGAAGGCAAUCCCCUGGGCCUGCACUGACGCUCAUGCACGAAAGCGUGGGGAGCAAACAGG
rnacentral:rRNA from 1 species